rnacentral:rRNA from 1 species
AGUGAACGCUGGCGGUAGGCCUAACACAUGCAAGUCGAACGGCAGCACAGGAGAGCUUGCUCUCUGGGUGGCGAGUGGCGGACGGGUGAGGAAUACAUCGGAAUCUACUCUGUCGUGGGGGAUAACGUAGGGAAACUUACGCUAAUACCGCAUACGACCUACGGGUGAAAGCAGGGGAUCUUCGGACCCUGCGCGAUUGAAUGAGCCGAUGUCGGAUUAGCUAGUUGGCGGGGUAAAGGCCCACCAAGGCGACGAUCCGUAGCUGGUCUGAGAGGAUGAUCAGCCAGACGGGAACUGAGGCACGGUCCAGACUCCAACGGGAGGCAGCAGUGGGGAAUAUUGGACAAUGGGCGCAAGCCUGAUCCAGCCAUACCGCGUGGGUGAAGAAGGCCUUCGGGUUGUAAAGCCCUUUUGUUGGGAAAGAAAUCCAGCUGGCUAAUACCCGGUUGGGAUGACGGUACCCAAAGAAUAAGCACCGGCUAACUUCGUGCCAGCCGCCGCCGUAA